UAGCUUGACACUGAACAUUGAGCCUUGAUGUGUAGGAUAGGUGGGAGGCUUUGAAGCGUGGACGCCAGUCUGCGUGGAGCCGACCUUGAAAUACCACCCUUUAAUGUUUGAUGUUCUAACGUGGACCCGUAAUCCGGGUUGCGGACAGUGUCUGGUGGGUAGUUUGACUGGGGCGGUCUCCUCCUAAAGAGUAACGGAGGAGCACGAAGGUUGGCUAAUCCUGGUCGGACAUCAGGAGGUUAGUGCAAUGGCAUAAGCCAGCUUGACUGCGAGCGUGACGGCGCGAGCAGGUGCGAAAGCAGGUCAUAGUGAUCCGGUGGUUCUGAAUGGAAGGGCCAUCGCUCAACGGAUAAAAGGUACUCCGGGGAUAACAGGCUGAUACCGCCCAAGAGUUCAUAUCGACGGCGGUGUUUGGCACCUCGAUGUCGGCUCAUCACAUCCUGGGGCUGAAGUAGGUCCCAAGGGUAUGGCUGUUCGCCAUUUAAAGUGGUACGCGAGCUGGGUUUAGAACGUCGUGAGACAGUUCGGUCCCUAUCUGCCGUGGGCGCUGGAGAACUGAGGGGGGCUGCUCCUAGUACGAGAGGACCGGAGUGGACGCAUCACUGGUGUUCGGGUUGUCAUGCCAAUGGCACUGCCCGGUAGCUAAAUGCGGAAGAGAUAAGUGCUGAAAGCAUCUAAGCACGAAACUUGCCCCGAGAUGAGUUCUCCCUGAGACUUAGAGUCUCCU
rnacentral:rRNA from 1 species